AAGAGAGUUGAUGGAACACUGAAUGUGUUGCUUACAUGUAUCAAACCUUUUCCUAGGAUGUGGACAAUUUAUUUUUCAUUAUGUGACCCACACUCUGCUUCUCAGGACAAACUGCUGGAGGAGAUGUGGAAGCAGCAGGACAGUCUGGACGGUUGUACGGCCACAGCUGCAGAGAUGGUGACCUCGCCGGAGGAGAGUUCACAGGACAGUAACCCCCUCCUAGAGCGUCUCAGGGCCCUGGAGGCGGAGAACUCGGCGCUGUCAAUGGAAAAUGACAAUCAGAGAAAACAGUAUGAACGUUGUCUGGAUGAGGUGAGUCCUUAAACCAGUGUCAACCAUGAACAAUGUUUGGGAUAUUUUCGAUAUUAAAUUAGGAUAAAAUUAAAAUGUGCGUGAUGCGUAAAGUCUAAUUUUAACUUAUAUAUAACAUGAAACUAAGAGAUGGGCAGUUUAUCUUAUCUUAUUAUAUUAGAUUAUUUUAUCUUAGCUUAUUUUAGCUUAGCUUAGUUUAGUUUAGCUUAGCUUACUUUAGCAUAAAUACUGGAACCAGCUAGUCUGGCUCCAAAGUUAGAACAUCCAGCUUCCAUUUUUAAUUGGCCGAUGAACACAUUAGUACGUUUCUGUAUGUGAAACCAUAGCUGAUCUACAGAAACAUUAUCGUUCUGCAGGUUCUGUUUACCAUGUGCGUUUAGGUCAGUGGAUUAGCAUCUUGAAAAGCCAACUGAUACCUGUGAGUCGAGAGUUAGAGAACCAACACGACAGUUUCCUUGAGGAUGGGACCCUAUUUUAUGCUAAGCUAAGCUAACUGUCCUUUAACAGUGGUUAACCCUAACAUUAAACCAAUGCAAUACUAAAUGUGAAAUUAUUUAAACUGCAAUAUCGUACCUUAUUUUAUGUUAGCAUAGACAUUUUGUCAUUGCUUUUGUGUACCAGUACUCUGUGGUGGCAAUGAGUAGACAGUUGUUAAGCAGUGGAUAGACCUAAGGUGAGCCUUACUCCAUCCAAAGUAUAGAAGAACACAAACACAACAUACUUUAUAGUUUCAGUUCAUUGAACAUAAAUGACUAUAGAAGGCAAUAGAAGAACAUAUACUUGAUUCCGCAUGUUGUCUCAGACUACCUGCUUCCUCCUACUUCCAGCCUUCCUAAUGAGCUUGGCUAACCAAACCUCACAUGCCCUCUACCUAUUACAAAGUGAUGAGAGUGGCAUCAUAAGCAGCUUUAAAUGAAGCCCUGAGUGAUGUGUGAAUGAGGCCCAGUUCGUCCUGCAUGUGGGCUGUUUACUUCAGUCCUUCCCACUGAUUGUCUUAUCUCUGUCCUUGCCU
ensembl:lncRNA